AGAGUUUGAUCCUGGCUCAGGACGAACGCUGGCGGCGUGCCUAAUACAUGCAAGUCGAGCGGACGGAUGGGAGCUUGCUCCCUGAAGUCAGCGGCGGACGGGUGAGUAACACGUGGGCAACCUGCCUGUAAGACUGGGAUAACUCCGGGAAACCGGGGCUAAUACCGGAUAACUCUUUCCCUCACAUGAGGGAAAGCUGAAAGAUGGUUUCGGCUAUCACUUACAGAUGGGCCCGCGGCGCAUUAGCUAGUUGGUGAGGUAACGGCUCACCAAGGCCACGAUGCGUAGCCGACCUGAGAGGGUGAUCGGCCACACUGGGACUGAGACACGGCCCAGACUCCUACGGGAGGCAGCAGUAGGGAAUCUUCCGCAAUGGACGAAAGUCUGACGGAGCAACGCCGCGUGAGUGAUGAAGGUUUUCGGAUCGUAAAACUCUGUUGUCAGGGAAGAACAAGUACCGGAGUAACUGCCGGUACCUUGACGGUACCUGACCAGAAAGCCACGGCUAACUACGUGCCAGCAGCCGCGGUAAUACGUAGGUGGCAAGCGUUGUCCGGAAUUAUUGGGCGUAAAGCGCGCGCAGGCGGUUCCUUAAGUCUGAUGUG
rnacentral:rRNA from 1 species